rnacentral:lncRNA from 1 species
CCCCCCCCAUUCUGAAACUCCUCCAGUGAACACGACCCCCCUCCAUCGGUCAGGAAUUCUUCUUCUCCAAAUCCUCUCACCAACCUAACGACCGGAGGGACAAAGAAAAACAGAGCAAUUGCAACUUCUUCAACUCCUCUCGCCCACCAGCGGCGAACUCGUCGGAAAACACACAUACAACUUCCUUCUUGCUUCUUCUUCAACAACCAAGCCAAAAUCCAUCGCUCCGACCCCUGAACGUUAAUCAUCAAACGACCUCAUCUCUACCUGAAACUCGCCGGAAAAACGAGCUCCACCAGCUCGUCGGACUAACGAGUUCCAGACGUGACCCUUUCCUCAAGCGACCAAACCAGCUUCUUCAUCACCAGAGCUGGCCGGGAGUCCGAUGACAACUUUUGAGCUCUAUAGCUAACGAACAAAGGCGCUGAAAAUAGUGAGGAGUCGCAAAACUCGUUUAACACCCUUUUCCAAUGAGUCUCGAGUUUCUGGUAGAGCUUCGAUGAUUGAGUUUCGACGACCGUUUCCCUUGGUUCCUUGUCGAAGUCCGUUCAUUGGUUCCGUUUAGUUCAAAGGUCCGAUAGCUAUUCUUUGAGUUGAAAUUUAGAGUUGUUCGUUGUUGAUUGCCGAAUUUGUUGGCUGCUGUUGGCAGAGCUUCGAUUUCAAGUAGUUGGAUGCCUGUUCCCAUCAUAUUUGCCCAAUUGCAUUGAGUCGCCUGAAUUUGUUAUUACUAAUUGCUUCCUGGCUUCACUGCAAUCUACAACCGAACCUUUUUCCUCAGGUGUGUUUUUAACCUUUUCUCUAUUUCGAAGCAGAGUAUUUGCCCUGUUUGGAGACUGUGUGUGUUCUGCUACAGCUGCUGCAUAAUUGACCAAAAUUUUAUUCCUUUGGUCAUUUGAACAUAGUGUAAUUGUUGUAGCUGUUUCGAUGCUUUUCUUUAUUGAGUCUGCAUUUGCAGUUGAUACAUAUUCCUCUCUCCUGCUUUCAAUUUUAGACUGAGCGACAUUCUCCAUUUUUGCCAUUGGAUCAGUGUUAACAACAUUGCCAUUUGAAUUGCAUUAUAGCUAUUUUAGUGACGAAGUUUAAUGUGAAAUUUCUAAAUUUGUUUGGUUAGUGAUUAUUUAGAUCCACGUUGUCUAAAAUGUAUUUGUCUUUUAAAGGAAAGAUAAUUUUGGAAAGAACAGUGAAUUGCCUUAGAAUUAUGCAGGUUAAUCAGAAAUUGGUUUGAGUUUAAACGCGAAAGAGAAAUUAGACUUUAAAGGUUUUAUUGCUUCUGUAUUAUUGUUUUACUAGCUAGCAACACAUUUCUGGGCCAUGAGACUUGGACUUAAUAUUUUUAAAGAAUUUGAGUUGAAAUGACCAUGAAUUGAACUUUUAUUUUAUUUAUGUUUUUUUGUUUUAUUUCUACUUUUCUUGUUAACCAUUAGCAACAUCUUUAGUCCGAGGUGAGCCAUUCACAAUUUAAUAAAACAUGGCCCUCGUAUUAAUUUUAUAACCUUGAUAUAAAAAUACACGCGUAGUUGUUUUAGGCGCAUUAUUCUAAUAACUUACCUUCCUAAAACUCGGGUGUGCAUUUAUGUGACCCAAAUCCAAAUCUCAAUGAUGUUAAAAUAUGUCAAGACCAUGGGUGCAUUUAUGUGACGUGGUUCGAGACGUGUUUCAAUAACGUUACAAUCUUCUUUAAAAAAUGAAUAAAAGCGGUUUAAAGUUAAAUUUGCACACAGGUUCAUAAUUGUAUAAAAUUAGAUAAUUAAGCCGAAUAUAACAGUUGAGCGACCGUACUAGAACCACGGAACUCGGGAAUGCCUAACACCUUCUCCCGGGUUAACAGAAUUCCUUACUCGGAUUUCUGGUUCGCGGAUAGUUAAACAGAGUCAAUCUUUUCCUCGAUUCGGGAUUGGAACCGGUGACUUGGGACACCAUAAAUCUCCCAAGUGGUGACUCUGAAUUUCUUAGUAUAAAUCUCGUUUCGAUUGUCCUUUAAUUGGAAAACUCCCUUUAUUAUACUCCCUUCGCAUGGGUGUAGAUAAAAAAAAGGAGGUGUGACAGCUCUGGUGACUCUGCUGGGGAUCGAACCCAGAAUCUCUGGUUCAGGGUUCAAGAAUUCAAGCUUAGAUGAAUUGUUGUAUUUGGCUUUAUUUAUUAUCUGAUUUUAUUCACAUGUUUGGGCCUAAUGUGCUAAAUAUUGCUUUUUAUCGCUUUGAUAUUAUCUAAACCGUAUAUAUAAACUGUUACGAAACCCCUCUCUUCUCUCUCCUGAGGAGUGCAAACAGGUCGUGACUUCUUUCUGUCAGUGUCAAAUCCCAAAUAGAAUUAGGCUCGGACAAGUUGCAAAGCCGGAUGAUCCUUUGGUUACCGGUACGCAGCCCCCUCCUCGGCUCGAGUUGUCCACUCGGGUAAGCCAGGUUUAGAACAAAUAAACCCAAGGUUUUAAACCUAGUAUAACAAUACCUCAUGCCGGAUCCCUAGUAUCAACGUUUGUUUGCAUCAUGUGCAUAUUUGACUUUGGAGACUCAACACAGGGGUUGGGUCUGUCUAGGACAGGUAUACCCCAAAAAACAAAAGACCAUCCUGAUGCAUCUUAUGUGCUAUAUGUUGCAUUUAUUCAAGGGUAAAAGGGUCAUUUGGCGAACCAAUGAUAGCUGAGGGUAAAUGAAGAAAUGAAAAAAAAAUGAAAAAAAAACAAUGAAAAAGAAAGAAGAAAAAAGACAAAGAGAGAGGUUGAAGUGUGAGGAUGAAGCGAGUAGGGCCCAAUUAUACUUUUGUUCCAUUUUAUUAAGAAAAAAGAGCAUGGAAACUUCAAAAAGAUUUUGCACUCUUUAUCAUUUUUCAAAAAUCGAAAAAAAAAAGAGAAAAUCCAAAAAGAUUUUGCAUGUUCGUCAUUUUUCAAGAAAAAGCAAGAAAAAAUGUGUUUUCUAUGAAUUAGUGGUUUUUUUUUUAAUUCUCACCCGUAUCCAAUUUGCCCGAACUACGCAAACCUGAUUCUCGUCUCUCGGGGCGGGAUACGUACGCAACCCACAUAGGGUCCUGUCUUCCUAGUAAAUCUUAAGUUCUUGGCUUUGCGGGGUCUUAGACAAAUUUUGCACUUCUAGCCACCUUUUGGCCAAAUAAGUUAUUUUGCAAAAAUAGUCCCAGUUAUGUCUUGCAUGCGUCUAAUAGGGAGUGUUAUUAUCUCACAUAGUGUUGGUUAAAGUUUUUUCAUACAGGUGUGGAUUUAUUUACCGAAGUUUGAGCAUGGCAGACACCCCAUGACCAUCCAGUCAGGAUCGCUCAGUCAGGAGUUGCUUAAGGAGAUUUGUUUUAUUUUUAUGUUUUGAGUCUGUUCCUCAUUUUAUGUCGUCUUUUACUUUCUACUUUUGUACAGUAAUGUCAAGUCUUUUUAUUAUUGUUAUUUUCUGUUUUAUAUUUGAAAAAAUGUGUUGUAACUCAAAAAUCCAAAAAAAGAGAUGUGGCAUUUUUAUAUUUCCG